GGCGGGAGGCGACCGAGCAGGAGGAGGAGGAGGUGAAAGAGGAGGAGGAAGGCAGAGCCCGGCGCGUGGCAGGGCGGGGGCUCGCCCAGCCGGUCCUAUUCCUGGGGCGCGCGGAAGCCAGGUGCUGGAGGCGAGCACGUCACCUCGGUACGCUCGGGCGGAUAAUCGCGGGUGUCCACAGAGCCCAGUGAACCACAGCCCAGGCUUAUGCUCCCAGAAGAGUUACGGGGAGAUCACCUGGAGCCUUUGCACUGCGACCUAGUAACCGAAUCUAGCGUUACCCGUGGGCCUGGACACACCGGUCCUUGUUAACAGUUACGUGGGAGGGCACACUUUUCUACGUGGACAUUCCCACCGAAAGUGUCGCUAACCACUGGGUUGUACCCCCAGUCUUUCGCAGACCCAGGGGGUGGCUGCCAAGAUUAAGAAUGAAUAAAGGCAUCUAGCUGCCUGGGUUUGUGAGCACCUUCUAUGUGAGCCAGCUGUUUUACAAACACACCCCGGACACUCUUAGCAAAAGAUAGCAGGAUUUUCAUUUGGUCCCUGAAAAUGUAUUGCAUUUUCUUUGAAGAUCUGGGUGGGCUAAAAUAAUCUUGCACUUAUGUUCCUGUCGUCACCCUUAAAUGUUUGCGAGUGUAAUCUCUUUACUCAUCUGUAAACGGGGACAGAUAAGGACAGUUAUUCCCAUUUCUCAUAAACAUCCGUUUGGUUCCUGGUUAUAUGUUCUAGAAAUAUGGGUUCCUACCUAAGGACACUGUGACUCUGGACCCACCCCGCAACAAGUGGUUUUAGGGCUUGCAACUGUGGGACUACUCGGGGGCUUCCCAAAACGUCCACCCAGCUUUCUACGCCCUUUGGGCUACUUACUAAACACAGUAUGGAGCAACUGUCUUCCUGAAUUAGGUUCUGCGACACCUAAGAAGCCUUGCUACACUUCUCUGCGGGAGAAGUAACGUGUUUAAGAGUAAAUUAAGUAGCGGAGAGUAAGCAUACACGACUCAGAUGUGCAGCCAACCUGGACUCAGAAAGGGGCCGCUGCACAGGAAGAGUCGGCUCGUCCCCGAUGCACAUCAAGUGCCAGGCCUUAUCAACACUGCCCAAAUCCUCGAAGGUCCUGAGCUAUUUCAGAUCCAUUCAUUAUUGAGCGAUUUCUGUGUGUGUAGAGCCCGUGUGAGACAAAGGAAUAAAAGAAGUGUGGCUUGUGUGCACUUGUACCCUUGCUGUACAAACAGCAGGCAACACGAGCUACAUUUAAAGAAAUGUUCCAAGCCUGCCGAUUGUCAAAUGAACAAUGGGUUAUUAGAAUGGGAACACAGAGCUUUUAGGGGUUGGGGGAG